rnacentral:rRNA from 1 species
GCGCGAAAACUUUACAAUGCUGGCAACAGCGAUAAGGGAACCUCGAGUGCCAGGUUAUAAAUCUGGCUGUCGAGAUGCCUAAAAAGCAUUUCAUAGCAAGGGCCGGGCAAGACCGGUGCCAGCCGCCGCGGUAACACCGGCGGCUCGAGUGGUAACCGUUAUUAUUGGGUCUAAAGGGUCUGUAGCCGGCCGGAUAAGUCUCUUGAGAAAUCUGGCAGCUUAACUGUCAGGCUUUCAGGAGAUACUGUCUGGCUCGAGGCCGGGAGAGGUGAGAGGUACUUCAGGGGUAGGGGUGAAAUCUUGUAAUCCUUGAAGGACCACCAGUGGCGAAGGCGUCUCACCAGAACGGACCUGGCGGCAAGGGACGAAAGCUAGGGGCACGAACC